rnacentral:rRNA from 1 species
UACGGAGGAGGCAAGCGUUAUCCGGAAUUAUUGGGCGUAAAGCGUCCGUAGGUGGUUCACCAAGUCUGCUGUCAAAGGGUGGGGCUUAACCUCAUAAAGGCAGUGGAAACUGGUGAGCUAGAGUGCGGUAGGGGUAAGGGGAGUUCCCAGUGUAGCGGUGAAAUGCGUAGAGAUUGGGAAGAACAUCGGUGGCGAAAGCGCCUUACUGGGCCUGCACUGACACUGAGGGACGAAAGCUAGGGGAGCGAAAGGG